rnacentral:rRNA from 1 species
UACGUAGGGUGCAAGCGUUUGUCCGGAAUUAUUGGGCGUAAAGAGCUCGUAGGCGGUUUGUCGCGUCUGCUGUGAAAUCCCGAGGCUCAACCUCGGGUCUGCAGUGGGUACGGGCAGACUAGAGUGUGGUAGGGGAGAUUGGAAUUCCUGGUGUAGCGGUGGAAUGCGCAGAUAUCAGGAGGAACACCGAUGGCGAAGGCAGAUCUCUGGGCCAUUACUGACGCUGAGGAGCGAAAGCAUGGGGAGCGAACAGG